AACGAACGCUGGCGGCAGGCCUAACACAUGCAAGUCGAGCGCCCUUUCGGGGGAGCGGCGGACGGGUGAGUAACGCGUGGGAAUAUGCCCUUCUCUACGGAAUAGCCUCGGGAAACUGAGAGUAAUACCGUAUACGCCCUGUGGGGGGAAGAUUUAUCGGGGAAGGAUUAGCCCGCGUUGGAUUAGGUAGUGGGUGGGGUAAUGGCCUACCAAGCCGACGAUCCAUAGCUGGUUUGAGAGGAUGAUCAGCCACACUGGGACUGAGACACGGCCCAGACUCGUACGGGAGGCAGCAGUGGGGAAUCUUAGGCAAUGGGGGCAACCCUGAUCUAGCCAUGCCGCGUGAGUGAUGAAGGCCUUAGGGUUGUAAAGCUCUUUCAGCUGGGAAGAUAAUGACGGUACCAGCAGAAGAAGCCCCGGCUAACUCCGUG
rnacentral:rRNA from 1 species